GACGAACGCUGGCGGCGUGCUUAACACAUGCAAGUCGAACGGUAAGGCCCUUCGGGGUACACGAGUGGCGAACGGGUGAGUAACACGUGGGUGAUCUGCCCUGCACUUUGGGAUAAGCCUGGGAAACUGGGUCUAAUACCGAAUAGGACCAUGGACUUCACGGUUUGUGGUGGAAAGCUUUUGCGGUGUGGGAUGGGCCCGCGGCCUAUCAGCUUGUUGGUGGGGUAAUGGCCUACCAAGGCGACGACGGGUAGCCGGCCUGAGAGGGUGACCGGCCACACUGGGACUGAGAUACGGCCCAGACUCCUACGGGAGGCAGCAGUGGGGAAUAUUGCACAAUGGGCGCAAGCCUGAUGCAGCGACGCCGCGUGAGGGAUGACGGCCUCGGUUGUAACGUACUUCUA
rnacentral:rRNA from 1 species